rnacentral:rRNA from 1 species
GACGAACGCUGGCGGCGUGCUUAACACAUGCAAGUCGAACGAUGAAGCUAGAGCUUGCUCUGGUGAAUUAGUGGCGAACGGGUGAGUAACACGUGAGUAACCUGCCCCGAACUCUGGGAUAACUGCUGGAAACGGUAGCUAAUACUGGAUACGACCUACGAAGGCAUCUUCUGUAGGUGGAAAGAAUUUCGGUUCGGGAUGGACUCGCGGCCUAUCAGCUUGUUGGUGAGGUAAUGGCUCACCAAGGCGACGACGGGUAGCCGGCCUGAGAGGGGGACCGGCCAAACUGGGACUGAGACACGGCCCAGACUCCUACGGGAGGCAGCAGUGGGGAAUAUUGCACAAUGGGCGCAAGCCUGAUGCAGCAACGCCGCGUGAGGGAUGACGGCCUUCGGGUUGUAAACCUCUUUUAGUAGGGAAGAAGCGAAAGUGACGGUACCUGCAGAAAAAGCACCGGCUAACUACGUGCCAGCCGCCGCGGUAA